GUCACAGUGGCCUAUGAACCGCAUGCUGCCUGCACUGUCUCUUGUCUUCAACCUUACAAAGACCCAGAAAGUCCCUGGGGAAAUGGAGGCAGUGGGAGUCAAGAGAGCAGAGGACAGAUUGGGGCAAAAUGUGAAUAAGGGGCAAAUGACAUUUAUUUGGCAGAGAAGAAAGGACACCUGCCACAUCAUAGAUCGACAAGCGGUGCAUAGGUCCACACCCGGGAUCCGAACCAGCGCAAACCCCAGGCCACCGAAGCAGAACGUGCAAACGCAACCGCCACACCACUGGGCCAGAUCCGAAUUGUACAGUUUAAAUGAACAUAUUUUAUGCCUGGUGCCACGAAGUCAGUGCUCAGCACAUGUUUGUUGAAGGAUGUUGUUGAAGACCCCGCCCAUGGCUGUCCACCAUCUAGUCCAUCCGGAACACCUCAGCACCAAGUUCAGGCUUCCAUCUUCUUGUUGUAGCGAGGUCAGCUUGCGGUGGAAUCCUCAAGGAAAGACUCCCCACAACAACACAACUUAAACAAAGUGGAUGGAGAGGAGAAAG
rnacentral:lncRNA from 1 species